rnacentral:rRNA from 1 species
UACAGAGGUCUCAAGCGUUUGUUCGGAUUCAUUGGGCGUAAAGGGUGCGUAGGCGGCGCCGGUAAGUCGGGGUGUGAAAUUCGCGGGCUUAACUCCGAAACUGCAUUCGAUACUGCCGUGCUUGAGGACUGGAGAGGAGACUGGAAUUUACGGUGUAGCGGUGAAAUGCGUAGAUAUCGAUAAGGAAGACCAGUGGCGAAGGC